UUUGUUGAGACUGGGAAGCCAUUUUGGGAUUCUGCCGUGUGGAAUAGAAAAUAAUGUGCUGUCAACUUGCAAACUUGCCUUGAAUUAUUUUGUCUGGGAUUGCUGGACCUUGGAACAGAAUGCUGAAGCAUAUACUCAUUCUAAAUAUGUGAAACGGAUGACUCAGGAUUUUGGAUAUAUAGUAUGAUUUGAAACAAUCACCAUGGAUUUUUCACGUCUACACAUGUACACCCCACCCCAAUGUGUGCCAGAGAACACUGGCUAUACAUAUGCACUCAGUUCAAGUUAUUCUUCAGCUGCUCUGGAUUUUGAGACUGAACACAAAUUGGAUCCAGUGUUCGAUUCUCCAAGAAUGUCAAGACGUAGUUUACGCUUGGUCACUGCAGGAUAUAAUGCAACAGAUGAUGCCCAAAAUGACAACAUUCAUAGCAAUUCCUAUAUUGGAAACAUGUCUUUGUCAGAUCAAUCAGCCAGAACAGCAAAACAGCGCAAAAAUAUGAGCAAGCAGUCUGUCACUGUGAAAAAUACUCCAAGAAAAAAUGUAUCCAGCUCUUCUAUUUUUAGCCAAAGUAGUUUCAAUAGCCAUGCCAGUGAUACAUCUGUAGUAUCUACUGUAUUGGAUGAAUCUUUGAUUCAGGAGCAAACAGAAGUUGACCAUUUUUGGGGGCUUGAUGAUGAUGAAUGCGAUCUUAAAGGUAGGGACACAACAGUGAUUCAGGGAAAUGGUGAUAUAGCAACAGCUGAAACACAGACUACCAUGAUCAAUGGCUAUACUUGCAGUGACUGCAGUAUGCUUUCUGAACGGAAAGAGGUCCUCACAGCGUACUCUGCUUCUCACCUGCCAUCUUCAAGAAUUUACUCUAGGGAUAGAAGCCAAAAAUAUAAGUCUAGAAACACCCCUUUCUACAUGAAUAAGAUUCUACGACUGAUCAAAUAUACUGCAACAUCUUUUGCAUCACUGUUAGUGCAACUAUUUCAAAUGGUUUUGCUGAACCUGGGUUGUGAAUUUAAAGCUCACUCGAAUUACUGUGGAAGUAUGAAUGUAAAAGACUUUGUCAAAGAGGAUGGCCAUCUUGGUAUAAAUGGGGAAUCAUUGUGUGAUGACUGUAAGGGGAAGAAACAUCUUGAAACAUACACAACAGUCCACAUGCAAUCCUCAAGGUCUAAAAGGGUAGCAAGGACCAUUUGGCACACCUUUUCUUACGCAGGUUACUUUGUGCUACAAGUGUUGCGAACAGUGGGAGCAACAGGAUGGUUUAUGUCUCAGAAGACGUUAUCACUACUUUGGCUGGCCAUUGUUUCUCCAGGGAAGGCAGCUUCUGGGAUAUUCUGGUGGCUUGGAACUGGAUGGUAUCAACUUGUUACUGUGAUUUCUUUGUUCAAUGUGUUUCUUCUUACAAGAUGCCUUCCAAAGAUUUACAAGUUGUUACUGUUUCUCAUCCCACUGCUGCUUUUGCUAGGUAUAUGGUACUGGGGCUUUGAAGGCUUCCUUUCAUUACUGCCUGCAUUCAAUUGGACAAGCAUACGUCAAACACAAAGAAUAGAUAAGCCUGUGCAGAUUCUUAAACCACAUCCUGAUUCUUCUCGCUAUGUCCAGCCUCCAGAGGGUACCAUACAGUUAUUUGAUUCUAGUCGUAUGAGUGAACUGGAAAAGCAAAUGGCCCUCAUGUCUGACAGAUGUCAUCACAAUGAUGAAGAAUAUGGCAAAGUGAUGCUACAGCUUGAGAAACUUCAGGAUCAGGUUGCCCAGAUGAACGACAAAAGUGAGAUGUUGAUACUAAUAAAAAAUGUAAUGGGCCAACAUUUUAAGGAAAUGCAAUCUGAGGAAAUGGCACAUUCAACGACUGAUCUUCUGGCUUUACACCGUGAACAUGAAUUGCGCAUUUUGACCCUGGAAGACCUUAUUGGAAAACUUUCUGCAAAAUCUGAGGACAUCCAGAAGGAACUUGAGCUAACCCAAACAAGAACAGUGAGUGGAAGUGAUGAGCAAAUCCAGCACCUUUUAUCCAAGGUUAAACAACUAGAACUAGAGUUGGCUCUCAUGAAGGCAGAACUGUUAACUCCACAAGACUUGAAGACCUGCUAUGAGAAAGUAGAUACAAUUCAUGAAAAAGUAGAUGCCCAGGUCAAAGAAUCUGUCAAACUUAUGUUUUUUGGUGACCAACAAGACUUUUCUGAAUCACUACUCCAAAGGCUAACAUCCAAAUUUGUGAGCAAGAGCGACCUGCAGGUUUUGUUAAGAGAUCUAGAGCUUCAAAUCCUCAAGAAUAUUACUCUCCAUAUGUCUAUUACACACCAAAAGCCAACCUCUGAAGUAAUAACAAAUGCAGUAAAUAAUGCAGUGAUUUCUGGCAUCACAGAAGCGAGUUCCCACCAGCACCCAGCAGACCACCAUAGAUACCUCGGAGGAGCCUGAGACAGAGACCUAGUCUGAACAAUGAGGAGGAGUCGGGAGACAUGGCAAGGUGGAGGUCCAGCUAUGUCAUGAGACAGGAUCUGUUUGAGACUCCACUUCAGUCUGGCUAGUCCCAUCAGCCAAGCACCGAUGAACCUGGUGAAGGGAAAGGAACCUUGUCUGUUGCCAUUGUGGUCUCCACCACACCACUGGAACCCUGAGGAGAAGAAGGAAGAGGGCUAGUGAGAUCCUGCAAGCCACUCAUGAAUCAGACUGCAAACAAAAGGCCUGUGUGGCCAACGUGGCAGACAGCAUGGAGAUGGACAGAGAAGACAGGAGAAAAUGGAGAAAGAUUCAGGAAUCCCUGCAGGAAAAGGAGAGAGCUUCUCAGGCAGCGCAAACAAAUGGUGCAGACUGGUUGACCUACAAGUCCAGUAAUCAUCAACUCCUCACCCUUUGCAGUCCCUGGAGAACUCCAUGGUGGCAGCUUCCCAUGCGCCCCAAUAUUCCACCUGGCUUCCUGGGCCCUAUCCCUACUGCUCCAUGCUGGUGGAUAGUAAGGAAAACUACAGCUUCACAUAACUGUCCUGUGAGAGCCACAGUUGCUUUAUGUGCAGCCAGAAUAGACUGCACCUGUGCACUGAAAUGGACAGAAAUGUUUGCUGCCUUUCUAAUUUUAAAAUUCUGUUUUCUUAAUAUAUGUAAGAAGUUUGUAUUGUAUUGGUCCUUUGUUAUAUGCACAUUGGUUGUUUUGCACUGUCACUCAAUACAUUUCUCUCUAUAUAUACAUUUUAAAAAAUAAAUUCAGUUCACCAUUCCCCCUGCAGAAUGCAUAGUGGUAUUCAGCAACAAAGAGUCCUGGGCACCAUAAAGACUAGCAGAUGUAUUGGAGCAUAAGCUUUCGUAGGUGAAUACCCACUUCGUCAGACACAUGGUACUCAAGUACUCUGUACUUAUACGUUUAUGGCACCACAGAACUCAUAUGUUCAACAAAACACUUAGUCAUAUGUGUAAAUAUACAGCAAGCCGCACGUAAUUCAUAGGUUCACUAAAAGACGGUGUAAUAUUUAUAAAUGUACCCCUAGCACUACACAAUUCCUAAGUGGCCCUACUGUUUUGGGGGCUCAGCACAAUCCAACACAGUGCAUUAAUGUGGCUGACCAUUAAAGUGCUCUUUCAAAGCCUUCUACAACCACAUAGUUCCACAUUAAGUCUUGCUGUUUAGACUCAGCAGACAGCCACUCCACCUCCACUCUGGCAGCAACUUUUCCCCUUUGCCUCAGAGAUAUUUUAUACGAGGCACAGCAAGGAGCUAUAACCAUUGGUGGGUGGUUUUUGCUGAAAUUUAGUAUUGGAAGUAAACACACCUAUGUUCCUUCAAUCUACCAAAAGCACAUUCAAGUGUCCUUCUCUAAGUACUAAGCUGGUAGUUAAAUCUUUCUUCUGUGUUGUCAAGGUGGCUCUUCGUGAACCAUGAGAACAAGGGGUAGGCAGGGUCCUCCAGUAUCGCUAUUGGCAUGUCAGUAUUUCCAAUGGUGAUUUGCUGGUUGGGAAAGAAUAUCUGUUUUCUGCUUUCUGAACAGUCUUAUUUUCUUAAAGAUGUGAGUGUCAUACAUGUUCCCUGAAAAACCCCCAUUGAUACCAGUGGAGCAUCCAUCAACACAUGCAUAGCCAUAGAAAAGGCUUCUUUUUCUAUGGAUGCACUCUGUGUGGCAAGGUGGUCUGGUCCCAAAAUGAGGAUAUGCAUACCAACUAUCGCCCCACUGCAGUUUUGGGAACCCUACUGCUUCAUAUCCAUCCACUGUGCCCUGUACAUUGCUGAGAGUCAGUAUUACAUAGCUGGACACUAUUAAUGGCCCCCAGUGUGGAUUUUCCAUCUCCAAAAUGAUUUCCCAUUGACCAGUAGUAAUCCAGCAUAGAAAGCUUCCAAGUGUGAUUUGCUAUUCACUCCUCAAUUGUCAAUGCAGCUCUUAUUCUGGUGUCCCUGCAUUGGAGGGCUAGGGCAGGGUUGGCGCACAGAUCCACAUAUGUGACCUUUUACAUUUGAAGGUUCUGCAGCUACUGCAUCUCGUCCUAAACCUGCAUUGCAAUGCGAUCUCACCAGUCAGUGCUCGUUUCUCAGGCCCAGAAGGGGCGCUCCACUUUCUGCGGCUGCUCCGUGAACACCACCAACAGCCUUGAAUUGAUUUUCACUAUGAAGAAAUCAUCAUGUCCUCAAGUAUUGCAGUUCUUUCUCCGAGUCUGCAGAUACCGGAAGAUCUUGCAUCCUGUAUUUGCAACAUCCAUAAUGACAGUGAAGAGCUUUGUGGGCUCCAUGCUUUUGCAGAUGUGGAAAAGGGCUGUGUGUGUUUGUGGAAUUCUUAAAAAAAACAUGAAGAUUACGGAUAUAGAUGGCAUUAUGGGAUGGAGAAAGUUGCAUGCAGGAACUUGACCUCUCGCUCCCAGAGGUCCCUGCAUCAUUCAUUUCUACUCCACAACGUGAAAAUUUCCCCAAAAGACUUUAGUCAUGUGGCAGUGUGUGUGGCACACUGGGAUGCCAACCAUUGGUGCACUGCACUCUGCUGUGAUGCAAGCACUCCUGAGUACAUGCAGCGCAGACACAAGCAGCCAGGUAUGCAUGAGCAGUGUACUGACAUUGGCAGCUGUAUGCUGAUGUUAUUUGUAUCAACCAGAAUUUGUAGUGUAGACGUGGCCUUAUGCUUCAGUCAGCAGUUUCUUCUGGUGGACUGUUAAUUUGGUAGUUGCAAUAGACUGUCUAGUCUUGUUACUUAGAAACACUAUUUUUCCUAUCCUAAAACAAGUAGCCACAUUGGAUGCAAUAAAGAAAAGUAAAUUCCAUUACCCUUUAUGAUCUGUAAUGCCUGCCAAACUAUGCUAUCUUGGGAGCUGAGAGAGAUCCAAAGUAUAAAGAAAAAUAAAAUAUAUAACCUAAAUGGAGAGAAGACUGAGACUUACAAAAACGCCAUUCAGAGUAACCUAGUGUCAAAUCGUCGUCUGACUACCACUCAUGAAAAAUUGGCAAAUGUAUCAUAAAGAUACUGGUUCCAAAGAUUCUGUGAUAUAGUACAAUUUUAUUUAAAAUGUUUAUGCAAUCUUAGUUAAUAAAGACUGUUGAAUGCAUGUAUAUCUAAUACCAAACCUGUUUUCUUUUUCCAUACUGUU